UAUAAUAUUUGAAUUGAAUGCAAAAUGUUUAAUUUGAAUGUUUUUAUCCCAGUGUAAAAUUGUUGUUUUCACAGUGAAAACAAUCAAAACAAAAUUAGUAAAAUAUUCAAAAUCACUUUCAUGUUUAUUCUUUCUGGCAACCAUGACAACAAAAAUAAAAAAUCUGGCAGCCAAUGACGAUCUGUCAAGUAAGAAAUUUGUGGAAGUUAUGUUUACAAAGUGGCCUCUCACGAAUCUAUCGUCUGCUUAGUGAAUUUGUGAUUUUUCGGUGUGAUGACAAACGUAAACUACGCUAAGCCAUGUACAGGGAGGACGAGCCCAUUGCAACGGUGGAUACAAACGGAAACUCCAAUGAGUCCAACUCCAACGCUACCUUGUCGCUGUCGAAAGAAUCGGAUUACGAUGUUACGCUGGAAACGGCAAGGAAACGGACCCCAUCAAGCGGUUUGAUUUUCUCCCACUUUAUGCUAUCAGCCCCGGCAAAGGAUCAUCAAGUAGCCCACCAGCCAUGGCGAAAGGCAAACAAAGAAAGGAGCCGAUUAGGGAGAGAAGCAACUCGCUCCUGUGGCGACCCGGAAGAAUAUAUUUGUAUUGCACUCAUCUCCAUCGAACGAUGGAACAGGGAGAUGAUGAGGAGCUGUUGGCGUGUUCCACUUUGAAGCGUCCCCGCCGUAUAUCAAGGCUGGCGAGAUACGAGACUACCAAACAGAGGUCUGAAACGGAUUAUAAUUUUUCGGUACGAAUAUAGAAUCAACAGAAUUCUGUAGACAAUUUCCCUGUUGGAUUAUUUGAAGAGCUUGCGAAGCAAUCCAGGACUGCACAUUGUUAUCGUGCCAAAAUUGACGCUGCAGAACUGGGUCAACAAACUUGGACGGUGGCGUGCGAUUUGAUUGAUUGAAGACCAGAAAAUUAGGAAUGUAUUCAUCAGGGAUGUGCUGAAGCCUAGGAAAGGCCUAUCGUACCAAGAAGGAAAAAUCUGUGCUUUCAGAAAUUUUGAGGGACUUUGAGACGGCCAACCGCCUGUUGCUGACGUGAUCGCCGCUGCUGAAUAAUGAAUUAUUGGCAGUGGCUGAUUUGCUACUCGCCGCUUCCACUUCCAGGCGCUAUCGUAUAUGCGCAAAUAGCCAGCUUGUUGAAGCCUUUCCUCAAUCGACGGAUUGAAAUCGGAAUUAAAGGAGAGACUGCGCCGAAAAAGCAGGCCACAAUCUUUGUCGGACUGUCCAAGAUGCAACGCGAGUGAUAUUCCAAAAUUCUCAUGAAAUAUAUCGACAUUGUAAACGAAGCUGGUAAAAUGGAAAAGAUCCGCCUUCAGAACAUUUUGAUGCAGCUUAUGAGGUGCACCCUCACCUGUUUUAUGGUGCAGAGCCUGACCCACCAUACAACACCGAUCAUCAUUUGUUGAAGAACAGCGUAAAAAUGGUCGUUUUGGAUAACUUGUUAAUCAAACUUCAGGAGCAGGAAUCUCGAGUACUGGUUUACGACGAUGACAUCGACCGUAUUCUGCUGUGAAGUGAAGAGCAAACUACCAAACGACGGUUUACGGAAUAGUAAUUUAUUCAAAAUGAGUGAAGCCGCUCCGGAUGAUAUGUGGACCCCGUUCAAGCACCUCUUCAAUAUUAUCGACUGGUUCCUGUCGGCGUCCGGCAGUAGCGCUGAAGAACAGCAGGAACAAAAUGUGGCCAGUCUGGAUGCGCUGCUGCGAAAGCAUAAGCAGAAUUUCACCACCCUGCUGCUAAAUCCACCGAAGAAUGCCAAAAGCCGGGUAGGGAUUACGGACGAAAUAACGCUGCCUGAGUUUGGGUGGUGGACGAAAGUGUGAUUAUUUCCGAUAUGUACGAUUUGAACGAGUACAUUGCCCUGGAAUUGCUUUGCACAGCGCAGCAGCAGAUGCCGAAUCAUCCGGGGCUGCCGCGGGGCUAGGUGGUAGUAUUGCUUAAUAGGAAGUAGGAAUAGUGCUUAGUAGGAAGUCGCUGAUUGCGAGCUUGAAGGAGCUGUUUCAGGCCCGGGUUGGUGUGAGUUGGUGCACGGAUGCGCCGCACGAGAUUACGCAGCUGAUCACAGCGUACACGGACGGGCUUGUGGCUGAUGGAGUGCUUAAUAAAAUCGUGGAGUUGCGGAGGGAGUUGGACGUAACGAAAGAACUGGACGUUCUGACGAUGAAUCGGGCGCUGGGUCCGCGGAAGCAUCAUCGUCAGGUGCUGGAUUUGUUCGAGAAGAUUCGGGUGCUGUUGGCAACGUAUUUGUUAACCUGGGCGACACAGUGCGGGCUUCCACAGGGAACGACAGUGAAGAUGAUCCGAUACUUGGUCAAGUACAAGUCGACGGUAUUGAGCGGAGGAGUGGACAAUGUGACGCUGGCGCUUCAUAUGGCGUUGAUGUACGGGUUGGGUAUGAGCGUGAUUCAGUGGUGGGAGGAUGGGAAGCAGGUCGUGAAACGGCUGCCAAUGGUGAGGGAUCCGGAGUUCAUCGAGAAGGUGAUGGAUUCAAUGUGUUCAUGUUGGGAGUGCGAAAGUUUGUGAUCGGUUUGUAAAUUGUUUUUUCUUAUUGUAUCUAAA